rnacentral:rRNA from 1 species
AUCUAAGUGGGAAACCCACCUCAAGAUGAGUUUUCCCCAUGAGACUCGUGGUAGACCACCACGUUGAUAGGCUGGGUGUGGAAGCGUGGUGACACGUGAAGCUAACCAGUACUAAUCAGUCCAUUGGCCUUCUUAC